UGGGGAAUUUUGGACAAUGGGCGCAAGCCUGAUCCAGCAAUGCCGCGUGCAGGAUGAAGGCCUUCGGGUUGUAAACUGCUUUUGUACGGAGCGAAAAGGUCUGCCCUAAUACGGUGGGCUCAUGACGGUACCGUAAGAAUAAGCACCGGCCAACUACGUGCCAGCAGCCGCGGUAAUACGUAGGGUGCGAGCGUUAAUCGGAAUUACUGGGCGUAAAGCGUGCGCAGGCGGUUAUAUAAGACAGGUGUGAAAUCCCCGGGCUCAACCUGGGACCUGCAUUUGUGACUGUAUAGCUAGAGUACGGUAGAGGGGGAUGGAAUUCCGCGUGUAGCAGUGAAAUGCGUAGAUAUGCGGAGGAACACCGACGGCGAAGGCAAUCCCCUGGACCUGUACUGACGCUCAUGCACGAAAGCGUGGGGAGCAAACA
rnacentral:rRNA from 1 species